rnacentral:rRNA from 1 species
CCAGUAACGGCGAGUGAAGCGGCAACAGCUCAAAUUUGAAAUCUGGUCCCCUUGCGGGGCCCGAGUUGUAAUUUGAAGAGGAUGCUUCUGGCAAGGUGCCUUCCGAGUUCCCUGGAACGGGACGCCGCAGAGGGUGAGAGCCCCGUACGGUAGGACGCCGAGCCUCUGUGAAGCUCCUUCGACGAGUCGAGUAGUUUGGGAAUGCUGCUCAAAAUGGGAGGUAAACCCCUUCUAAAGCUAAAUACCGGCCAGAGACCGAUAGCGCACAAGUAGAGUGAUCGAAAGAUGAAAAGCACUUUGAAAAGAGAGUUAAAAAGCACGUGAAAUUGUUGAAAGGGAAGCGCUUGCGACCAGACUCGCGCCCGUCGGAUCAGCCGUCGCUUGUCGGCGGCGCACUCCGGCGGGCUCGGGCCAGCAUCAGUUCGCCUCGGGGGGAGAAAGGCGGCAGGAAUGUGGCUCCUCGGAGUGUUAUAGCCUGCCGUGUAAUACCCCCGGGCGGACUGAGGACCGCGCGUAUGCAAGGAUGCUGGCGUAAUGGUCGUCAGCGACCCGUCUUGAAACACGGACCAAGGAGUCGUCCUAAUAUGCGAGUGUACGGGUGUCAAACCCCUGCGCGUAAUGAAAGUGAACGGAGGUGAGAGCUUCGGCGCAUCAUCGACCGAUCCUGAUGUUCUCGGAUGGAUUUGAGUAAGAGCAUAUUGGGCCGGACCCGAAAGAAGGUGAACUAUGCCUGUGUAGGGUAAAGCCAGAGGAAACUCUGGUGGAGGCUCGCAGCGGUUCUGACGUGCAAAUCGAUCGUCAAACAUGGGCAUGGGGGCGA